AUACGGAGGAUCCGAGCGUUAUCCGGAUUUAUUGGGUUUAAAGGGUGCGCAGGCGGCCAUUUAAGUCAGCGGUUAAAUCGUGGGGCUCAACCCCAUUCUGCCGUUGAUACUGGGUGGCUUGAUUGCGGUCGAGGUUGGCGGAAUUCGUUGUGUAGCGGGGAGCUGCAUAGAUAUGACGAAGAACACCGAUUGCGUAGGCAGCUGACCAGACCGCAAAUGACGCUCAUGCACGAAAGUGCGGGGAUCGAACAGGAUUAGAUACCCUGGUAGUCCGCACAGUAAACGAUGAAUACUUGUUUUCGGCGAUAUAAUGUCGGAGGCAAAGCGAAAGCGAUAAGUAUUCCACCUGGGGAGUACGCCGGCAACGGUGAAACUCAAAUGAAUUGACGGGG
rnacentral:rRNA from 1 species